AGUGAACGCUGGCGGUAGGCCUAACACAUGCAAGUCGUACGGCAGCACAGUAAGAGCUGUCUAUUACUGGUGACGAGUGGAGUACGGGGGAGGUAUACAGCGGAAUCUACUUGUUCGAGGGGGGGAAAGUAGGGAAACUAACGCAAAUACCCUAUACGUGCUACGGGUGAAAGCAGAAGAUCUGCGGACUUUGCACGAUUGAAUGACCCGUUGUCGGAUUAGCGAGGUGGUGGCGUAAAAGCCCACCAAGGCGAAGAUCCGUAGCUGGUCUGAGAGGAUGAUCAGCCACACUGGGACUGAGCGACGGUACAGACACCUACGGAAGGCAGCAGUGCGGAAUAUUGGACAAUGGGGGCAAUCCUGAUCCAGCCAUACAGCGUGGGUGAAGCAGGCCUUCGGGUUGUAAAGCCCUUUUGUUGGGAAAGAAAAGCAGCAGGUUAAUCCCCCGUUGUUCUGACGGUACCCAAAGAAUAAGCACCGGCUAACUUCGUG
rnacentral:rRNA from 1 species